rnacentral:rRNA from 1 species
GAGACACGGACCAGACUCCUACGGGAGGCAGCAGUGAGGAAUAUUGGUCAAUGGGAGAGAUCCUGAACCAGCCAAGCCGCGUGAGGGAAGACGGCCCUAUGGGUUGUAAACCUCUUUUGUCGGAGAACAAAACCCGGGACGAGUCCCGGACUGCGUGUAUCCGAAGAAAAAGCAUCGGCUAACUCCGUGCCAGCAGCCGCGGUAAUACGGAGGAUGCGAGCGUUAUCCGGAUUUAUUGGGUUUAAAGGGUGCGUAGGCGGUCCGUUAAGUCAGCGGUAAAAUUGCGGGGCUCAACCCCGUCGAGCCGUUGAAACUGUCAGACUUGAGUUGGCGAGAAGUACGCGGAAUGCGCGGUGUAGCGGUGAAAUGCAUAGAUAUCGCGCAGAACUCCGAUUGCGAAGGCAGCGUACCGGCGCCAGACUGACGCUGAGGCACGAAAGCGUGGGGAUCGAACAGGAUUAGAUACCCUGGUAGUCCACGCAGUAAACGAUGAAUGCUGGUUGUCCGGGUCGAAUGAGAUCUGG